rnacentral:rRNA from 1 species
AGUGAACGCUGGCGGUAGGCCUAACACAUGCAAGUCGAACGGCAGCACAGUAAGAGCUUGCUCUUACGGGUGGCGAGUGGCGGACGGGUGAGGAAUACAUCGGAAUCUACUUUUUCGUGGGGGAUAACGUAGGGAAACUUACGCUAAUACCGCAUACGACCUACGGGUGAAAGCAGGGGAUCUUCGGACCUUGCGCGAUUGAAUGAGCCGAUGUCGGAUUAGCUAGUUGGCGGGGUAAAGGCCCACCAAGGCGACGAUCCGUAGCUGGUCUGAGAGGAUGAUCGGCCACACUGGAACUGAGACACGGUCCAGACUCCUACGGGAGGCAGCAGUGGGAAUAUUGGACAAUGGGCGCAAGCCUGAUCCAGCCAUACCGCGUGGGUGAAGAAGGCCUUCGGGUUGUAAAGCCCUUUUGUUGGGAAAGAAAAGCGGCAGGUUAAUACCCCGCUGUUCUGACGGUACCCAAAGAAUAAGCACCGGCUAACUUCGUG